rnacentral:rRNA from 1 species
AGAGUUUGAUCCUGGCUCAGAACGAACGCUGGCGGCAGGCUUAACACAUGCAAGUCGAGCGCCUCGCAAGGGGAGCGGCGGACGGGUGAGUAACGCGUGGGAACAUGCCCUUGGGUGCGGAACAACAGCGGGAAACUGCUGCUAAUACCGCAUGAUGUCUUCGGACCAAAGAUUUAUCGCCCAAGGAUUGGCCCGCGUUGGAUUAGGUAGUUGGUGGGGUAAUGGCCCACCAAGCCGACGAUCCAUAGCUGGUUUGAGAGGAUGACCAGCCACACUGGGACUGAGACACGGCCCAGACUCCUACGGGAGGCAGCAGUGGGGAAUCUUAGACAAUGGGCGCAAGCCUGAUCUAGCCAUGCCGCGUGAGCGAUGAAGGUCUUAGGAUUGUAAAGCUCUUUCACCGGGGAAGAUAAUGGCGGUACCCGGAGAAGAAGCCCCGGCUAACUUCGUGCCAGCCGCCGCGGUAAUUC